GAACAAUCAAACAAUGGUGCGAACGGUAAAGCGGGAAUUGAUAGACAAUCGAGCAGUUGAAUACCUCACCUUUAAGAAUCGGAUUACCGGUAAUUUGAUUUCCCAUCAUUUUAGCAAUUUCUUUCUUUGUUUUUGCAUUUCAAUUUUGAGUUAUUUAUUUAUUUUGUAUAUUCGGGCCAUUAAUGUCUCUGUUUUUUUCCCCCCAUAUUUGUUUACUUUGAUUAAUUCGUAUUUAGUGAAAAAAUUGAUGAAAGCUCAUUGCAAAAAAUUUCUAUACUUCGAUUUGUUUUGUCUUCAUAUACUGGAAAAAAAUUGAGUGUUUUAAUCUUUAAUUUAAUUUUCUUCCAGAAUGGCUGCUUCUAGGAAGUGGAUAAAAUCACUCAUUGGUCUGAAGAAGUCGGGAUCAAAUGACCGUGCAAGCUAAUAAUCUUUGUAUUAUCUUUAUAUGAUUUUUUUUGGUGUUUUAUGCAAUGAUUUUUAUAUUGAACUGUGUUGAGGGCUUGAGCCUAAUAAUCUUUGUAUUAUCUUUAUAUGAUUUUUUUGGUGUUUUAUGCAAUGAUUUUUAUAUUGAACUGUGUUGAGCUUAAUUCAUAUGUAAUGGUGUGUUUGGUUGGGCUUAGUAGUUGUUGUUGACUUCUUUUUGCCUUGUUGGUUUAAUGAUUGUUAUUGUUGUGUCGCCCAUGAGUUGCUCGACGAAAAUGUCCGCUUGUUUCGUGCUAGACUGCUAGGGUUCGCCCCGAAACAAGCACGAGCCACCCAUAGGCCGAGUCCCAAUGGUCGAACUGACGAUAUCACUGUUUUGCCCGUGCUCGCAAAAUUCCUGGAUCCGCCUCUUAUAUUAUUUCAAUUUUAUGACAUGCAGAAUAUUAAUGGUAAUGGUGACUGUCCGUGGGAAUAUCUUCUUAUGCGCCAAGUUUUAUUUGGUAGCGAUACCGAAGAAUCAUUUUUUCAAAUAAUUUAAAGAACAGCAGUGACAAGAAAAUUGGUUUUAGUUGGGGGUUAAUUAGUUUGAUCUUUCCAAUUUCGUUUAAUAAUCAUUCCACUGUUGGAAAAAUUUUAAUUUGUUAUGUGGUCCUACGUAUGUAAUUAAUUGUGUAUAAAGCUAUCUUAAAGUUAAUCUCAAAGUUAAAGUGAUCUAAUAAAGAGAUUCGCUUUGCUACCAAAAA
rnacentral:lncRNA from 1 species